GCUAAGUUCAGUUUUCUACUAUUAACUGUUCUGCUAAAUGUAGCGGGUCAGACCCUGCUUUGCUUACUCCGAAGAAAAGGAUCGAGGAGUAAAACAAAGUAAAAUUUAGCUCGGCGUGUAUUGUGGUUUCAAACUUUCUUCCUAUAGAUUUUAUACUCACCCUUCGUGUUACUCGUGUGUUAUUUUAUGGCUGUAACAAAUUUCUUUUGAAACUCCUGCUCGGCUAAAGAUUUUCUGAGCUUAUUCUGUAUGAUAAAUGGGCUGGAGAGAGCUCUAUAUUUUUGUGAUCCACACGAUCCCUUUAUUGCUUUUUGCAGGGGAGGGUAUAAUGAGCUCCUCAGGUAGAGCUCAUUGGAAAACAAGACAGCUCAUGGAAUAAACAUGGCAUUAUCAUCAGUGAGCACUUUCAGAACAGCGUGGCAUUGCAAUCUCUUUUUCUCUCGCUUAGACAAUAGAGUAUUUACAUCCAUCCAACAAAGUAAUACAAGUUGAUGAACAUUCAUAGACUGCCUUUCACAGCCUAUGUUAACUUAGCAUUUUAUUCCUCAUUUGGGAGCAGAAUGGAUGCUAAUCAUUAAGUUUUAUAUGAAUGUUUCUAUUACUUGAAGCUUUAUAACACACGUGCUGAGUUAAGGGAUGUAACUUAUGUAAAUGAAAGAUCAUUCCACAUUAAAAAGACAUUUUCCGGAGCAUCUUUAUUCAGUUAAAUUUCAGCUGAUCUAAAGGACAUCUAACAGAGCUAAUGCAGAGGGGUAAAGUUUGGGGAUGGAAGCGUAGAGAAUAGUCUACACUGGGCCGGGAUACUAUUUCUCUGCAGUAGAUUUCAGAAAUACCUACGGUAUAUACUGGUUAUGCCAUUUGAAACUCAAGGCUUAGCUGGGGGAGAGGGCAGGAGAAAAAAAAGAAAAGCAUUUCAUAUGAACAAAACAUUUUUUGUGAAAGACUAAAUUCCUUUUUGUUUCCAUAUGCAAUACCGUCAGCAUUUUUUUUGAGUCUUUGCUGAAGUUCUCACACAAGCAAAGUGACUCUUGGAAAUACACCAUUACAACUUAAUAUAUCCAGUAUGUAAUUUGUACUUAACAGAAAGAUAUUUAGGGCCAUUUGCCUCAGCCAUAAGACUUUCAGCUGCACAGUGGGAGGUAAUGCUUCAAUGAAACCUUUGUUUUUAAUCUUCUGAUAUAGUCACUGGGGCAGUUGGCCGGCUUUAAAAUUACAUCAGUCUUCUUUAUAAUCUGGGGCUUGCACACAGUAGUUUGGGGGGCACACAACAGUUUCUGAGCCGAACUUCUGCUAGUUUUAACCUGGUGCUUGGGAAGCACAGAAUUAAAUGCUUAAAAGAAGUAGGAAAAAUUAAAAAGGAGCACAAAAAUGUUCCCGGACACCCCCAUUCUGUCUGCAUCGAGGGCAAGCCAAUUAGCCAACGCUGGCUUUGUUUCUUCUUCCGAAAAUUAGAUUAUGGUUCCCGGAGUGAGCACCAUGAUACUGUGGCCGGACAGGCAGGGAUUUUAAUCACUUCAAAGCAGCGACUGAAUAUUGCUCAUCGUUUGCAACGCUGCAGAAGGCAAGUCCUCCUGCACAUUUCUCUGCAUAGCAAGUUGGGUGGUAGUGGGGACAUAAUAUAAAACUGUUGCCUAGUGUUCCACUAAGCUCUGCCCUCCUCUGAAAAAAUCCCUCAUAAUUCAGGCAACAGCUGGAAAGCUUAGCUUAAUGGUCUGUGCUUAAAUGUGGAAGGUCACAGGGUGCUGAUCUAAGGAGCUGAGAAGUCUUGCUCACCCGACUGUUGACACUUAGUAAACGCAGGAGGAGGGGCCUGUGUAUGCAUCUGAGAAAGCCAUACCCGAGCAGCAAAAAGAAUAGGAAGCAACUUCUAUUCAAGGUUUGCAGGGGUCCUGGAACCAGUGGGGAAAAGCAACAAGGCCCUUCACUGCCUCUAAGUUACCUUGUAUUAUAACAGGAUUAAAGUACAUUUAGCUUCUCUAUUAGCAUACUUUAGUCCCAUUUAGGCUUACUUGAUGUUUCCGAUAGCCUUUGAUCAGCCUUGCAUGGUGCUGGUCAGCUUCAGGACACAGCAGUCAAAGAGCGAGACUGUGAAAUUAUCCUGAUGUUGAAUCUCACAGGAGAUAUUUCUGGCUGUUUUCAUUCACUCGUCCCCAAUAUUCGGGAUUCUUUUUUUUUUUUUUUUCCUUAAGAAAGUAAUUUACACAUUGUUCAAGAGAGAGAGAGCGCGAGAUUAAAAGAAAGAAGGUAGCACAGUGACCGAUAAUAAUUAGUUCCUUGUUUGAAGUCAGAGUGCUGGCUUCUGUGCCAGUGUAGCAGCAUCUACUAAAAUACUAUAAUUUCUACAGUGUCUGCCUUUUUAUUGCUUACAUUUGCAUAUAAAUUAAAUCCAUAUUGUAGCUUUAAGGCAAGCUAGGCUUAGAAUGCCGUGCGGCUCUGGGUCCAUUGUUUUACAUCUACUUUCUAUACUGUGGUUAAAUGAAAGGGGAGGAGAAAGUGAAGGAGGGAGAAAGUCAGCUUUGUACCAUUUUUAAUUGCUUCUCUACCAAUUAUGGCCAAAUUAAUAUUUAAACUUUCGAGUGCUUUGAGAAAGUGUUUACAAAACCCACUUCCUGGUGUUCACAGCCCUGGGUGCCUACAGCAAUAUUUAUAUUGGAAUCUCGGUCGAUGGAAAUGAAAAUAAUUAAAGAUAAAUUCGGUUUUCUCUUUUUAAAAAUUUUCAAGAAAGUAAAUACCAUUAAUCAAACUGUAAAUAUGUUUUCAUGUUGAGCCCGGACAGCAGUGCUAAAAGCUGCAUUGAUCAAUAUUUUGGCUUCUUUUUUUUUUCACCUGGUACAGUUUAUAUGCAUGAAAAGAUCCUGUAUCAUUUAGUUCACUUGAUCUUCUCCCCCCGCCUUCCCUUCAAAUCUCUUUUGCUUUAUGCUGCUGUCUCUGCCAGAAUGACAUAGGUUGGCCUUUUUGAAUUUCUGUUUCAGUGAGUUUCAGAAAUCCACAGGCUGCUAAUGCUAACACAUCAGGACAGAGCCUGGGAAGACAAGAGACAUUUGCAAAGAUGAGUAACUAGAAGCAAAUGGCGCCUCAAAGUCUCCGUUUAAAAAUUCUUUAAUGAGAUACAGUACUUUUUUUUUUUUUUUUGCUCUUUUCUUGGGCUAAUGCCUAGUAUGUACCAACCACUGGGCCACAUUUUUAGGAAACAUCUAAAUCAGAAGUCAGAAGAUUACACAGGGACAUAAGAAAAUCUUAGGAUGGCAGGAGGCCAGGAAGCCCAGCUAGGCCUGUCCUUUCCUAGAGUUAACAGUUGUUCACCAUAAUAUAUUUUAUUCCCUUUCCAUAUGCUUCUUGCUCUCUUUGAAAACUGGCCGGACUGGUCGCUUCUGGAGCGACGCUUGAUCUCUGAUAAAACACACCACCUGAAAGAAAGAGAUUACAUUCGUACAUGCGAGGCCUUUCCCUCUUUCCAUCCACGGACCCCGUUCGACUGAGGGAGAAGAGUAACAUUAACUCCAAGCUAUGGAUGAGGAAGCUAAGACACAGAGAGGUGAAAUAAUUUGUCCCGUGUCACAUGCCAGGUCAGCAUCAGAGCCAUGAAUACAAGCUAGAUCAGCAAAUUCCUCUACCCUCCCAGUUGGACCAUGAGGCCAUGUUCCAGCAGAGGUGUAGCAGGGCAGCUCCGUGCCUCGGGUGGCCACGGGGCUAUCUGUGCACGCACACACCUCCACCAAAGACCCGGUCACCUCCCCUCUGUUCUGCUGCUAUGUUCCAGCUUCAGUGAUCGGCUUCAGCGUAUACGACCCUAAGGAUUUCCGAGCCGUGUUCCUCGUCGGUUCCAGGGAAUCCCCCCGUGUUUCUUCCUGCCCCGUGACAUUUUAGAGGUGGCAGUCUGCGGGAUGCAUGCUUCGGCACCCACUGCAGCCCUGCGUCCAGCAAGUCUGCCUUCCUGCCCCUUCUUCUCGCGGGGGUCUCGGUCCACGCCCGGCGCUGGAGACUCCGCGCAGUGCCAGGCGCUCGCCUUGCGCGGGCGCGCAGCCCCAACGCGCCCGCAGCCGCGCGGGGAAGAGCCGGGCGCUGAGAGCACGCGGACAACUCCGCCAAGUUGCAAAGACACGAGCCAGAGGGUCGCGGGCUCAGGCCCUUUGCCACGUCGUGUAGAGGCACUGACCACCCCAGCCGUGCAAAAGCAGGGGACAGAAGUGCAGGCGAGGGCGUUAUGCCGGGGCAAGCAAAGCAAAGGAGGAGCGGAUCCCCGGGAUGACCCUGCUUCACCGCUCGGAGCCCCCAAGGAGCCAAACUUUCCUGGCCUUCCCUCCCUGCUCGUCCGCAGCAUUUUCUGAAUUUCACCCACCCCACAAUCCCCGUCCUCGUUUCAUGAUGGCAUUGACUCUUAACCAGCUGACAGCCGUGCGAAACAGAUGUGGCGCAGCCGACAAGGGGCUGUGCAAAUCUGCUUGGAAAGACAGGCGACUGCUCCGGGUGCUGCUGGGGUCUUGCACUUUUGGGGGUGUCUCCCCCCGCCCCAAGCUCAGCGCAGCCUCAUGCACGUGUGUGUAGUGAUGUCGCUGCUUACCUGGGUCUAGCAAACACACGGGCCUGACUCCUGAACGGGGGACAGAGCUUUUUAAAGACUCCCUAAUGUUUGGGGCAGGGAAAAAAAAUGAAAUAGGAACCUCUCUCCUGCGAGGAUCAGGCUGCGGCUGCUGGGCUCCGGGAGGGCAGGAGAGGAGAGUCCCGUCUUGGCGGCCCCCUCUGCGGGCAGCUCGGGGCUGGGACAGUUUGCGACCGCUCGGAAAUGUGCCCGAGCCCCGGGUCCUACUCCAGGGGACAGGUGCUGGGGGCCCCUUGUAGCCCCCCACCCCUUUUAUGUUGGUGCUCUGGGUGCAAUGCCAGCCUCGCAGGGGGGUUUCCAAAGCUUUGCCAUUUAUUAGUAGGAGAGAGCUCACUCCAAGGAGGUUAUCUGAGCAUAACCCAUGGCAGAUCUCACGCGUGCCCGUCUUUAUGAAUGCGAUUUUCCCCCUAUAUAGACCCCCAAAAUUAUAUAUCUAUAUCUAUCUAUCUAUCUAUCUGUAUAUACAUAUAUAUAUACAUAUAUAGAUAGAUCUCAUACAUACACAGAUAGAUAGAUAGAUAGAUAGAUAGAUAGAUAGAUAGAUAGAUAGAUAGAUAGAUAGAUAGAUAGAUAGAUAGAUAGAUAGAUAGAUAGAUAGAUAGAUAGAUAGAUAGAUAGAUAGAUAUCACUCCCAUGGUUGCAGGGAUGGGGAUAAAAAUCGCAGUGAGUUGCCUGCAAUUGCUCCUCUCCUGGCUUUGAGAGCCCUGGUUUCUUGCCCCUUGGUUGUUUUUAAGCACCAGCACUCCUUUUUUUUUUUUUUUUUUUUUUUUUUUUUUGAGCCAGGCAGGUUCACUACAGUUUACCCUGUGCUAAAACUCGCGGAGGUGCCUCCUGCCAAAAAAGUAGCCAUAAAAUCCUGCUCGCACACGUGGUUGUGGUUGAAACGCCGGGGGAAAGUCUCGGCUCUUUUCCUGGCGGAGCAGGCCCGGGGAUGGUGAAGUUUGGGGGAAACCUCGCUCCAGAAAGUGCCUGAGUUUUAAAUCGCUUUCCAACUUGAGCUUCGUAUCCCACAAGCAAAGCUACUCCCGACCUCUGAUUUACACCUCUCCAUGCAACAGCCGCUCCUGAAGCCUGCCAGCCGUCUACCUGCGGCUCCCUCUUUAGAAAAGGAGGUAGAUAUUAAGCAGAUCAACUCCAUGAGCUGCUCGAGAAAGAAGGGGACCAGGACGGAGGAGUCCGAACUAAUGCCACAAUUUGAAAUCUAACCAAGCCCAGAUCGGAAGGCAUCGGGUUGCGCUGAGCUAGAGAUGCGCACAGCGCCCAGCUAGACACAAGCACGCGCAUUUUCGGAACAAAACUCCAAGAUCUACAACAGAAAAGGAACCUCAUCGCCUCCAGUCAACUUUUUUUUUCUAUGCUUUAAUUUUUAUCUUUAUUUUUCUAAAAGGCAAAAUUGGUUUCUGCCCCGCAGAUUUUGCCAUCUGUCUGAAAUAGCCACGGAAAGAAUUUUCUUCUGAUCAAUCUGUUGCCAGUGUGUAACAUUUCGCUAUCGUUAUGAUCUUAAAAAGAAAACAAAAAAAACAACAACCAAGUUUCAAAGAAUCGUGAUGGAUAGUUUCAGAAAAGAUGUGAAUUGCAGAGACAACCUCUAAAAAAUUAAUUGGCAAAGUGUCUAAAGUCAUUUUCUUUCUGGCUUUGCUGUUGCUACAAUUAACAAAGUUUUUAUGCAAAGAAUAAAGUGACAUAGAAAAGAAAAAAAAUCUCUCUCUUUUUUUUUUUUAAUGAAGGGAUUGCUCACCUGGUCCAGUAAAGAUCACAUCUCAGAGAAAAUGAC